AGUGGCGGACGGGUGAGUAACGCGUGGGUAAUCUACCCGUGAGAGGGGGAUAACACCGUGAAAACGGUGCUAAUACCGCAUAACAUCGUCGACUCUCACGAGAAGGCGGUCAAAGGAGCAAUCUGCUCACGGAUGAGCCCGCGUCUGAUUAGCUAGUUGGCAGGGUAACGGCCUACCAAGGCAACGAUCAGUAGCCGGCCUGAGAGGGUGACCGGCCACACUGGAACUGAGACACGGUCCAGACUCCUACGGGAGGCAGCAGUGGGGAAUCUUCCGCAAUGGGCGAAAGCCUGACGGAGCAACGCCGCGUGAGUGAGGAAGGCCUUCGGGUUGUAAAACUCUGUCAUCAGGGAAGAAACAAAUGACGGUACCUGAGGAGGAAGCCACGGCUAACUACGUGCCAGCAGCCGCGGUAAUAC
rnacentral:rRNA from 1 species